UACGUAGGGUGCGAGCGUUGUCCGGAAUUAUUGGGCGUAAAGGGAUUGUAGGCGGUUCGUCACGUCGAAAGUGAAAACUCAGGGCUCAACCCUGAGCCUGCUUUCGAUACGGGCGGACUAGAGGUAUGCAGGGGAGAACGGAAUUCCUGGUGGAGCGGUGGAAUGCGCAGAUAUCAGGAGGAACACCGGCGGCGAAGGCGGUUCUCUGGGCAUUACCUGACGCUGAGAAUCGAAAGCGUGGGGAGCAAACAGG
rnacentral:rRNA from 1 species